GACGAACGCUGGCGGCGUGCUUAACACAUGCAAGUCGAACGGAGUGGCGAACGGGUGAGUAUUACGUGAGUAACCUGCCCUCAACUGUGGGAUACGCCUGGGAAACUGGGUCUAAUACUGCAUAGUUGGGGAUGGGCUCGCGGCCUAUCAGCUUGUUGGUGGGGGGAUGGCCUACCAAGGCGGUGACGGGUAGCCGGCCUGGGAGUGUGGGUGGGAACAUUGCGAGUGGGAUACGGCCCAGGCUACUACGGGAGGCAGCAGUGGGGGAUAGUGCACAAGGGUCGUAAGCCUGAGGCAGCGACGCCGUGUGGGCGAUGAGGGCGUUCGGGUUGUAAACCGGUGUAGGUACAGAACGGGUAUGUGCAGAAGAAGCGCCGGCUAACUACGUGCCAGCAGCCGCGGUAAUUC
rnacentral:rRNA from 1 species